rnacentral:rRNA from 1 species
GAUGAACGCUAGCUACAGGCUUAACACAUGCAAGUCGCGGGGCAGCAUGGGGGUUGCUUGCAACUCCCGAUGGCGACCGGCGCACGGGUGAGUAACGCGCAUCCAACCUGCCCUUCACCACGGGAUAACCCGGCGAAAGUCGGACUAAUACCGUAUGUUGUCCAUUGACGGCAUCCGAUUUGGACGAAAGGCUUUGCGGUGAAGGAUGGGGAUGCGUCCGAUUAGCCAGACGGCGGGGUAACGGCCCACCGUGGCUACGAUCGGUAGGGGUUCUGAGAGGAAGGUCCCCCACACUGGAACUGAGACACGGUCCAGACUCCUACGGGAGGCAGCAGUGAGGAAUAUUGAUCAAUGGGCGUAAGCCUGAACCAGCCAAGUAGCGUGCAGGAUGACGGCCCUAUGGGUUGUAAACUGCUUUUAUGCGGGGAUAAAGUGGCCCACGUGUGGGCUUUUGCAGGUACCGCAUGAAUAAGGACCGGCUAAUUACGUG